GGAGAAACCGAAAAAAGAAGAAGAAGAAGUAUUUCAACUGCUGAUUCAUAGCCGUGUCUUUCACCCCUGCGGCCACCACAGAAAAGAAGAAGCUGGGCAUGACUGAGCGGAUGUAGAGAGCGACCCAGGGGAUGGGGAGCUGCGAAACGGUACAGCCAGUCUCCCCUGGAUGCUGUUGACGAUGAUGAAAUGACCCGUUCUCCUGGCAAUCAUUAACGGCAGAAUGCCUAGUUACAUAAAAA